ACUGCAAAUUUUCAUCCCCACCCAAAACAGCAUCGCAAUCCUCCCCUUUCUUGCAGUAGUUACUGCCCUAUCAUCUCAUACGCGAGCCCCCUGAGCUCACCGCGCGACGGCGCGCCUCCGCUACCAGUCCAUGGGGUUGACCGUGGCUAGGCCAGCGGCGAGCGAGGCCGGCGCCUGCGGCGCGUGAGGCCGGCGGCUGCCGCGCGUGAGCUCUGAGGUGGCGGAGCACGAGGCCGGCGGCGAGCCCUGUGAGAGUUUCGGUGCUGCGGCGCACGAUGCCAGCAUUGAGCUCCGAGCCGGCGAUGGGAGAUCCGAGGGCGGCGGCGGCGGCGGUGGAGGUGCUGUGGGUUGAUGGCAUGCGAGGCCGGUAGGCACCGGUGCGUGCGGUGGGGCCGUCGGGGCGCGAGGUCGGCGACAGCUACAGUUGCAGACACAGGAUCGGGGAAGACUCCAGGGUGACCGCUAUCACGCUGUAGGAGGAAGAAUACUCCACCGUGAGAGGCACCAAGCAUCCGUAUAGUAGGGAGAUUUGUGAUGUUGGAAUAGUUGAGGUGGAGGAUAUGCUGCUGGGUGCUGCAAGGACGGAAGAAACCAAGAAGAAGGAUCCAACACAACACCGAUGCCCGUUCUCGACUAAACUGAUCCUCGUAUUGUUUGCAACGAAUAGAAGCGUUGGUUAUUUUAUUUUAUUCGGCUGCAAAGUUUCGUUUCAGAUGCUUUGCUUCUGGGGCAUGAGUGGCAUGACCAACCUUUUCACUCUCCGCUGCAGCUGCACUAGUUGCCAUGUGUGUUUUGCUGCUCUGAAUUCUGAACCUCGACUCACCGUUCUGUACUAAACUUUGAAUUUGACGUUCCUCGUAACUGUCCUUUACUCAUUUCGUUUUCAAUAGCAUAGCCUUGAUUA